rnacentral:rRNA from 1 species
UCGAGAAUCUUCCGCAAUGGGCGAAAGCCUGACGGAGCGACACCGCGUGCAGGACGAAGGCCCUCGGGUUGUAAACUGCUGUCACGCUCUAGGAAUCCCGUGUUGUGAAUAGCAGCACGGUUGACUAAGGCGAGAGGAAGUGGCGGCUAACUCUGUGCCAGCAGCCGCGGUAAGACAGAGGCCACGAACGUUGUUCGGAAUCACUGGGCAUAAAGCGCACGUAGGCGGCUAGGUCCGUCCGAUGUGAAAGCCCCCGGCUCAACCGGGGAAUAGCAUCGGAUACAGCCUGGCUUGAGGACGGUUGGGGUGAGUGGAACUCCUGGUGGAGCGGUGAAAUGCGUAGAUAUCAGGAGGAACACCGGUGGCGAAAGCGGCUCACUGGACCGUUACUGACGCUGAGGUGCGAAAGCUAGGGGAGCAAACGGGAUUAGAUACCCUUGUAGUCCCUGAGCGGGCUGGCAAGGCGCAU